rnacentral:rRNA from 1 species
GUCUGCUUGAAUAUGAAGUCAGUCUCGCCUGCCCACUGGAUACUGAAGGGCCGCGGUAUCUUGACCGUGCAAAGGUAGCAUAAUCAUUAGUCUUUUAAUUGGAGGCUGGUAUGAACGGCUGGACAAGAGUUAGACUGUCUCAAUAAUUAGUUUUGAAUUUAACUUUCAGGUGAAGAGGCCUGAAUAUAUUUCAAAGACGAUAAGACCCUAUAAAACUUUACAUUACUUAGUAAGGACUUAUAUUGUUUGUAUAACAUUUUUUUGCUAUAAUAUGUUUCGUUGGGGCGACGAUAGUAUAAACUUAACUGCUUUUGUUUUAAACAAAUAUAAUUGGGUACAGAUGGUCCUAGCUAUAGAUCUAAGAAAAAGUUACUUUAGGGAUAACAGCGUUAUUUUUUUUGAGAGUCCUUAUCGACAAAAGAGUUUGCGACCUCGAUGUUGAAUUAUAAUACCUCCUGGGGGCAGCAAUCCAGGCGGCAGGUCUGUUCGACCUUUAAAUUUAUACGUGAUUUGAGUUCAGACCGGUGCAAGCCAGGUUGGUUUCUAUC